GACAGCAAAGGCCUGACCUGCACAGAGGAAGAGGACCAGAGCUAAUUGCGAAGAUGUCCACAUCCUGAUAGAGCCUACAGAAGGGGAAGCUGGAAGCUCUCAGAACAGGGCUCGGAGAGGAAGGGACAGGGAGAGAAAUGGAGAAGACAAAGAACUGGAGCCAGGAGGAGCUGUUAGACUCCCAUUGUCAGAACCCAUGACACAGACCUGAGCCUGGUGCUGGAGUCUCCAUGGCUGAUCCUGAGGAUGCCACACCGGCGACGCACCCAGGCCAUGGGCCGUGUGCGCCCAGGAGGCUGAGCUGAGUCAGUACCUCUCCAAAGCAAGAAACGAAAGCCACUCUCGCCCCAACACAGCAGUACCUUCAGCCUCCCUGACCAAGCACAGAAGGUAAGCCACAGCCUCCCUGGAAUGACCAGACCCCUGAAAGCCAAGCAGGAACAUACCAUACCAUCACCUUUGCUGCUUCCAUUUGAACCCCACCUCAGGCCUGGCCCGGCAACCAGGUUCGUUUUACCAAGGGGAUUGUCUACAGUACAACCUGCCCUGCCUUUCCUCAGAAGGCCCCCCAAAGCAACCUCCCUGAAGCCACCCCAGGACUGACAGGGGAAGUGCUGAGCCCAGUUGCCAAUAGAGUUCCUCCUUCCCCUCCUCCUCUAAAAAAGCCAAGGACUAUUGAACUGCUCCCUCCUUUCCCAGGAAAAGACAGAGACUCAGGGACAAGACUCCUCAGUACAGGAGCAGGCUUAGGAUGAAAAGCUGGCAUGCCUUGUCCCACUCCUUCCUUUCUUCCCUGGAAGAAGCUGACAUCGCAGGUGACUGGACAGCCUGCCAGGCUCUCCCAGAGUAUCAACACAUAUGCAUGCACACACACAUACACAACAGAAAAGAAGGAUGUCCCUCCUGACCCACCUGAGCCCCCCCUCUCCCGUCCUCCCCCUCUUACUGCCGCUCUUGGUUUCCAAGUGGGCCUCCAGCUCUGAGUAGCCUUCUGAGCACUGGCUGAACUCGACCACCCUGCCACCACCACCUCAGCUCCUCUGGGGACAGUGGAGCCACAGAAGCAGCCCUCUGAAAGCAAGGCUCAGAACCAAUACAGUGACUUAGACAAAUGGUGUGGGUCUGGGAAAUAACCGUGAGCAAAAUGGCUAUUUCUGUGGUGCUGUUGAAAUCCUGGGGACAGGAGCCCAGAAAGGAUGGGUCAGUUGUUUACCAGGAGGCUAGCUCUAGCCCUUGACUUGGGCCUGAGUCACCUCCUCAUGUCCAAUCGUGAGAUUGUGCCUUCCUGAGCCCACAUAAUGAUUCCUGUGUGUGCAGAGCAGGAUUACAGGGUUGACACAUGAUCCUUGGGCUGCUGCUGGGCUUUAGCUACCCAGAGAUUACAACCCACCUGUCCUCACAGCUGUUUCAUAAACAGUACAAUUGGCAAGCUACAAGCAACCUAGAGGAAGGGUAAUAUUUAUUCAUUAAAUAAUUAAACGAAUUUAAAGCAUAAGGGGAAAAGGUCCAAGUCCUUAGUACUG